rnacentral:rRNA from 1 species
GGAGACAGGUGGUGCAUGGUUGUCGUCAGCUCGUGUCGUGAGAUGUUGGGUUAAGUCCCGCAACGAGCGCAACCCCUAUCUUUAGUAGCCAGCAUUUCGGAUGGGCACUCUAGAGAGACUGCCAGGGAUAACCUGGAGGAAGGUGGGGAUGACGUCAAAUCAUCAUGCCCCUUAUGACCAGGGCUACACACGUGCUACAAUGGCGUAAACAAAGGGAAGCGAGCCCGCGAGGGGGAGCAAAUCCCAAAAAUAACGUCUCAGUUCGGAUUGUAGUCUGCAACUCGACUACAUGAAGCUGGAAUCGCUAGUAAUCGCGAAUCAGAAUGUCGCGGUGAAUACGUUCCCGGGUCUUGUACACACCGCCCGUCACACCAUGGGAGUCAGUAACGCCCGAAGUCAGUGACCCAACCGCAAGGAGGGAGCUGCCGAAGGUGGGACCGAUAACUGGGGUGAAGUCGUAACAAGGUAGCCGUAUCGGAAGGUGCGGCUGGAUCACCUCCUUU